AUACGUAGGGAGCGAGCGUUGUCCGGAACUACUGGGUGUAAAGGGAGCGUAGGCGGGAGUGCAAGUCAGAUGUGAAAUACAUGGGCUCAACCCAUGGGCUGCAUUUGAAACUGCAUUUCUUGAGUGAAGUAGAGGUAAGCGGAAUUCCUGGGGUAGCGGUGAAAUGCGUAGAUAUCAGGAGGAACACCGGUGGCGAAGGCGGCUUACUGGGCUUUUACUGACGCUGAGGCUCGAAAGCGUGGGGAGCAAACAGGAUUAGAUACCCUGGUAGUCCACGCUGUAAACGAUGAUUACUAGGUGUGGGGGGACUGACCCCUUCCGUGCCGCAGCUAACACAAUAAGUAAUCCACCUGGGGAGUACGGCCGCAAGGUUGAAACUCAAAUGAAUUGGCGGG
rnacentral:rRNA from 1 species